GUUAUAAGAUCCCUCAAAGAUGAUGAGGUUAAUAGGUUCGAGGUGGAAGCAUGGUGACAUGUGGAGCUGACGAAUACUAAUCGAUCGAAGACUUAAUCAAA
rnacentral:rRNA from 1 species